rnacentral:rRNA from 1 species
GUUAUAUGGUCAAGCGAAUAAGCGCACACGGUGGAUGCCUUGGCGGUCAGAGGCGAUGAAGGACGUGGCAGCCUGCGAAAAGUAUCGGGGAGCUGGCAACAAGCUUUGAUCCGGUAAUGUCCGAAUGGGGAAACCCACCCGCUUGCGGGUAUCCUGCAGUGAAUACAUAGCUGCUGGAAGCGAACCUGGUGAACUGAAAUAUCUAAGUAACCAGAGGAAAAGAAAUCAACCGAGAUUCCGUAAGUAGCGACGAGCGAACGCGGACUAGCCCUUAAGCUGAUUUGGUUCUAGGAAAACGCUCUGGAAAGAGCGGCCAUAGAAGGUGAUAGCCCUGUAUCUGAAAGGGCCAUUUCAGUGAAGACGAGUAGGGCGGGGCACGUGAAACCCUGUCUGAACAUGGGGGGACCAUCCUCCAAGGCUAAAUACUACUGACCGACCGAUAGUGAACCAGUACCGUGAGGGAAAGGCGAAAAGAACCCCGGAGAGGGGAGUGAAAUAGAACCUGAAACCGUGUGCGUACAAGCAGUAGGAGCUCCGCAAGGAGUGACUGCGUACCUUUUGUAUAAUGGGUCAGCGACUUACUGUUCGUGGCAAGCUUAACCGUAUAGGGGAGGCGAAGGGAAACCGAGUCUGAUAAGGGCGCAUAGUCGCGGGCAGUAGACCCGAAACCGGGUGAUCUAGUCAUGCCCAGGGUGAAGGUGCGGUAACACGCACUGGAGGCCCGAACCCACUCCCGUUGCAAAGGUAGGGGAUGAGGUGUGAUUAGGAGUGAAAAGCUAAUCGAACCCGGAGAUAGCUGGUUCUCCUCGAAAGCUAUUUAGGUAGCGCCUCAUAUGUAUCCUCUCGGGGGUAGAGCACUGUUAUGGCUAGGGGGUCAUCGCGACUUACCAAACCAUUGCAAACUCCGAAUACCGAGACGGACUGUAUGGGAGACACACGGCGGGUGCUAACGUCCGUCGUGAAAAGGGAAACAACCCAGACCCACAGCUAAGGUCCCAAAUUCACUGCUAAGUGGAAAACCAUGUGGAAAGGCACAGACAGCCAGGAGGUUGGCUUAGAAGCAGCCACCCUUUAAAGAAAGCGUAAUAGCUCACUGGUCGAGUCGGUCUGCGGGGAAGAUUUAACGGGGCUAAGCAGUGAACCGAAGCUUGGGGUGCAUACUUUGUAUGCGCGGUAGAGGAGCGUUCCGUAAGCCGUUGAAGGUGGAUUGAGAAGUCUGCUGGAGGUAUCGGAAGUGCGAAUGCUGACAUGAGUAACGAUAAUGCGGGUGAAAAACCCGCACGCCGAAAGCCCAAGGUUUCCUUGCGCAACGUUAAUCGGCGCAGGGUGAGUCGGCCCCUAAGGCGAGGACGAAAGUCGUAGUCGAUGGGAAGCAGGUUAAUAUUCCUGCACCUCGCGUAAGUGCGAUGGAGGGACGGAGAAGGUUAGGUGUACCAGGCGUUGGUUGUCCUGGGGAAAGGCGGUAGGUUUGGAUCUUUGGCAAAUCCGGGAUCCUCUAAGACCGAGCACCGAGACGAGCCUUUAWGGCGAAGUCACUGAUACCACGCUUCCAGGAAAAGCUCCUAAGCUUCAGCUUACGCAGACCGUACCGUAAACCGACACAGGUGGGUAGGAUGAGAAUUCUCAGGCGCUUGAGAGAACUCGGGUGAAGGAACUAGGCAACAUGGCACCGUAACUUCGGGAGAAGGUGCACCCUUUUUGGUGGCUCGUGCGAGCUAUAGCUGAAGAGGGUCGCAGUAACCAGGCCGCUGCGACUGUUUAUCAAAAACACAGCACUCUGCAAACACGAAAGUGGACGUAUAGGGUGUGACGCCUGCCCGGUGCUGGAAGGUUAAUUGAUGGGGUCAGCCGCAAGGCGAAGCUCUUGAUCGAAGCCCCAGUAAACGGCGGCCGUAACUAUAACGGUCCUAAGGUAGCGAAAUUCCUUGUCGGGUAAGUUCCGACCUGCACGAAUGGCGUAACGACAGCGGCGCUGUCUCCACCCGAGACUCAGUGAAAUUGAAAUCGCUGUGAAGAUGCAGCGUUCCCGUGGCAAGACGGAAAGACCCCGUGAACCUUUACUAUAGCUUUACACUGAACGUUGAGUUCGUCUGUGUAGGAUAGGUGGGAGGCUAUGAAACUGUGGCGCUAGCUGCAGUGGAGCCAUCCUUGAAAUACCACCCUGUCGUGCUUGACGUUCUAACCUGGGCCCAUUAUCUGGGUCGGGGACCGUGUAUGGUGGGUAGUUUGACUGGGGCGGUCUCCUCCUAAAGAGUAACGGAGGAGCUCGAAGGUACGCUCAGCGCGGUCGGACAUCGCGCACUGUGUGCAAAGGCAUAAGCGUGCUUGACUGCAAGAUCGACGGAUCAAGCAGGUAGGAAACUAGGACUUAGUGAUCCGGUGGUUCUGUAUGGAAGGGCCAUCGCUCAACGGAUAAAAGGUACUCCGGGGAUAACAGGCUGAUACCGCCCAAGAGUUCAUAUCGACGGCGGUGUUUGGCACCUCGAUGUCGGCUCAUCACAUCCUGGGGCUGUAGUCGGUCCCAAGGGUAUGGCUGUUCGCCAUUUAAAGUGGUACGCGAGCUGGGUUCAGAACGUCGUGAGACAGUUCGGUCCCUAUCUGCCAUGGGCGUUGGAGAUUUGAGAGGGGCUGCUCCUAGUACGAGAGGACCGGAGUGGACGAACCUCUGGUGUUCCGGUUGUCACGCCAGUGGCAUUGCCGGGUAGCUAUGUUCGGAAGCGAUAACCGCUGAAAGCAUCUAAGCGGGAAGCGCGCCUCAAGAUGAGAUCUCCCGGGGCACAAGCCCCCUGAAGGAACCAUGUAGACUACGUGGUUGAUAGGUCAGGUGUGUAAGUACAGCAAUGUAUUGAGCUAACUGAUACUAAUGAUCCGWGMGGCUUGACCAUAUAACCU